GACGGAGGGUGCAAGCGUUAAUCGGAAUUAUUGGGCGUAAAGGGCGCGUAGGCGGUUGUGUAAGUAGGUUGUGAAAUCCCUGGGCUUAACCCAGGAACUGCAGCCUAGACUGCAUGACUAGAGAUCAGUAGAGGGGGGUGGAAUUCCUGGUGUAGCAGUGAAAUGCGUAGAGAUCAGGAAGAACACCGGUGGCGAAGGCGACUCUCUGGACGGUGACUGACGCUGAGACGCGAAAGCGUGGGGAGCAAACAGG
rnacentral:rRNA from 1 species